rnacentral:rRNA from 1 species
GUCGAGCGGAUGAAGUAGCUUGCUACCGGAUUCAGCGGCGGACGGGUGAGUAAUGCUUAGGAAUCUGCCUAUUAGUGGGGGACAACGUUCCGAAAGGGGCGCUAAUACCGCAUACGUCCUACGGGAGAAAGCAGGGGACCUUUGGGCCUUGCGCUAAUAGAUGAGCCUAAGUCGGAUUAGCUAGUUGGUAGGGUAAAGGCCUACCAAGGCGACGAUCUGUAGCGGGUCUGAGAGGAUGAUCCGCCACACUGGGACUGAGACACGGCCCAGACUCCUACGGGAGGCAGCAGUGGGGAAUAUUGGACAAUGGGGGGAACCCUGAUCCAGCCAUGCCGCGUGUGUGAAGAAGGCCUUUUGGUUGUAAAGCACUUUAAGCGAGGAGGAGGCUACCUAGAUUAAUACUUUAGGAUAGUGGACGUUACUCGCAGAAUAAGCACCGGCUAACUCUGUGCCAGCAGCCGCGGUAAUACAGAGGGUGCGAGCGUUAAUCGGAUUUACUGGGCGUAAAGCGUGCGUAGGCGGCCAAUUAAGUCAAAUGUGAAAUCCCCGAGCUUAACUUGGGAAUUGCAUUCGAUACUGGUUGGCUAGAGUAUGGGAGAGGAUGGUAGAAUUCCAGGUGUAGCGGUGAAAUGCGUAGAGAUCUGGAGGAAUACCGAUGGCGAAGGCAGCCAUCUGGCCUAAUACUGACGCUGAGGUACGAAAGCAUGGGGAGCAAACAGGAUUAGAUACCCUGGUAGUCCAUGCCGUAAACGAUGUCUACUAACCGUUGGGGCCCUUGAGGCUUUAGUGCGCAGCCACCCGAUAAGUAGACCGCCUGGGGAGUACGGUCCCAGACUAAAACUCAAUGAUUUUCGGUG